rnacentral:tRNA from 1 species
GCCAACUUAGCUCAGUUGGUAGAGCGAUUCAUUCGUAAUGAAUAGGUCGUCGGUUCGACUCCGAUAGUUGGCUCAA